rnacentral:tRNA from 1 species
GUGUUAGUAACUCAACGGUAGAGUGUAACCUUGCCAAGGUUAAAGUUGAGGGUUCAAAUCCCUUCUUUCACU